rnacentral:rRNA from 1 species
AACGAACGCUGGCGGCGUGCCUAACACAUGCAAGUCGAACGGGGUGAGGGAGCUUGCUUCUUCAUCUAGUGGCGCACGGGUGAGUAACGCGUGGAUAAUCUGCCUGAUGCUCUGGGAUAACAUCUCGAAAGGGGUGCUAAUACCGGAUAAGCCCACGGACUCUUCGGAGUUUGCGGGAAAAGGAGGGGACCUUCGGGCCUUCCGACAUCAGAUGAGUCCGCGUCCCAUUAGCUAGGUGGUGGGGUAAAGGCCUACCAAGGCGACGAUGGGUAGCUGGUCUGAGAGGAUGAUCAGCCACACUGGAACUGAGACACGGUCCAGACUCCUACGGGAGGCAGCAGUGGGGAAUUUUGCGCAAUGGGGGAAACCCUGACGCAGCAACGCCGCGUGAGUGAUGAAGGCCUUUGGGUCGUAAAGCUCUGUCAGAGGGAAAGAAAUGUGGGCGGCUAAUAUCCGUUCCACUUGACGGUACCCUCAAAGGAAGCACCGGCUAACUCCGUGCCAGCCGCCGCGGUAAUAC